CCAGUGUACAGCAGAAUGAGCCUCCUGUCACCAGCCCAGAGCUCUCAGACAGAAUUGAGUUCCUGUACAGUAGGACUUUCCACUCAUGUCUGUGGUCUAGGAGGAGAUUGGGUUGGGCAAACACCAGGCACGAUGGAGCAACCAUUAACCCUGGAGUUGUGAAGACAGGACCACAAGCUGAGAGAGGGCAGCAAUGGAAACCCAGCCAAACUAUUAAUGGAAGGCUGGGUCCCAUUCUUUAUUAUCCUUCUGUGGUCUCGUCACCAGCAGGGUGAGCCAAAGCCGAGGGCAAGAACACGCUGGGUGACCUUCCACACCCCAAAUGCAAGAUCAAGUGCUGUGGAGAAGGAGAUAACAAGUUUUUAAUGUAAUAAAGAUCAACGUAUCAGUUAUUCUUUUUAUGGAUUAUGCCUUUGAUGUUGUAUCUGUAGAGUCAUCUUCAAACUGGAGAGCUGAAACCUAAUAUUUCUGGAGGCUGGAAGUCUGAGAUCCACAUGCUCCCAAAGGACCCACUUCCUAAAAUCAUUACUUUGGAGUCUAGGAUCUCAACAUAUGAACUUUGGGGGAUGGGGACAGAAACAUUCGGUCCAUUGCAGAGGAAGAGCCUGUGUUAAUAUGAAAGAGUCAGAAAAACUUCUUUGAAAAGCCAAUCCUUUGCUUUCUGAGGGUGAGUGAAGAUUAAGCAGAAGGAGCAGUUUAAGGCAGCAGGAAAUGCUAGGGUGAAGACUCUUGAAGGAAAAAAUGAAGGCCAGUCAGUGUGGCUGGAGUGAAAAAAUCCAGGAAGAUACUGCACAAGUUGACGCUAGUGAGGAGGCAUGGCCAUGGUGAGGGUUUUGGCCUUUAUUGUAAGGAUGAAGGGAAGACACUGAGAGGUUUAAGAAGGGGCAGAAUGGAACAGACAACAGGACUGUCAGGGAACAUCCAUUUUAACAAUAUCACCUUGCUGCCAUGUGGAGAAUUGAUUGAAAGAGGGCCACGGUGUGUGGGAGACUCACUGCGAGCACCUCACAUUAAUCCAGACAUGAUGGCAGCUUGAACUAGGAUAUUAGCUGAAGAAAGGGAGAAAAAUAGAUGACUUGAGUGAUGUAGAGAUAUAAAGGCCAUAGGAGCUGGUGAUUGAUUUCAUAUGAGCAGUGUGGCAUCACAGGCAUCUUCCAGGUUUAUGGCUGGAGCUCUGGAUGGACUGUGGUGCUGUUGAAGCCAGAACCAGACCACGUUUGUGGGAAAGACAAUAAAUCGAGCCAAUUAGGAUGGGGAGGGGUGUUCAAUAGUGCAGAGACAAACCUUGAUUGAGGAAAAUAUGAGAAGGCUACAUUUAGGAGGCAGGAUUUGAACCAGGCCUUCAAUACAUCCAGAAAUCAGAGCCAGGCAUAGUGGGGAAAUUGCAGGGGAAGUGAGGUUCCCAACAGAGGGAGCACCCAGAGCCUUAUGGGGGAUCUUGGCAUUUUUAUUCCAUUUUUGUUUUAAGUAAACUUUGCAUUGAAGUUCAGCAUACCUAUAGAAAAGUGCACAAUUUAUAAAAAUACAAAUCUAUAAAAAUUUAAGAAAACAUAUCAUCCAGUUUCUUUGGGAAGGGGUUCAUUUUUUUCCCCUAAUUUUCUAUUUUAACUGCAUCUAGUUUUCUGAUUGAAAGUGACAUUGAAUUCCUGGAAGUAAGCUGGGAAGAAAAACUCAUUCUAUGAGUGAAUACACUUGGCAAGAAGUAGUGGGGCUGUAAUUGUGAUAGUAACAGUGUUACUAGAAAACAUCGGUGACUGCUAUUGUUAUGUGUUAUGCUGACUAUAAUUUGUACUGCAUUAGAGGAACGUAAUCAGAGAAGACUUGGAGAUAUCAAGUCUUGGAGUAUUACUGAUAAAUAAAUAGAAGUAAUUCUAGACUGUACAAGAAAGAGUUCAGUUUUAGAAAUUUUAAGUUUCGAGUGUUUACUCAAAACUCAUACAGAAGUGGAAAUGUCUGGAAGAACAAAAGGACAGAAGAAUGCAUGGGUGAAAAAUCAAAGGAGGGAUCUUGGCUCCAGGAGACAUGUGUGAGUUCUGCUGUGGGGCUACAUUUAAUCAUGUCAGAGUUGAGGUUCUUGCUUUAGGAGCAGUUACUUAGAAUGAGAUGUCCGGGAUUUGUCUUUUUCUUUUAUUUUACCCAGAAAGAAAUGGAAGUAACUAGAGUGUCUGUUAUACUGUUGCAAAUGCGGUUCUGGAGCAACAAAGAUUGAUCAAAGCUGGAAGCAGGGCUUUGGGUAUUGUCUGUUUUCAGAGAGUAAUUGAAGCCACAGGUCGGACAAAAUGGUCUGGGGAAUGGACAGGGAGCAAGGUGACCCCAGUGUGUUGGAGGGUGCCAGAGCUCAGGGCAGGAGUCCCAGCUGUGCAUGGUGGUGGCAGCUGCCCCGCUUGCCAAGCCCAGGUGGAUGAGGUGGGCAGUGGGUGGGGGGCACUCAUGCACCAUCCACAGAGAGGGUUAGAAGCUAGAGUACUUUGCAGAUGUCAACAGUCGAUUGCAGACAAUUAGGAGGCUGCCUUUUUUCUCCUUCUCCCAGGACCCCUAAGACAAACUGUCUGAACCAUAACAGUUGAGUCUGAGGAUAUCAAAUAAGUAAGGCAAAGAGAGACCCCGUGGAAUAAUUGUGGUUAGUGGCUUGCGGGGCUGCGGAUGGGCUGUGGGGGGCGGGUUGCUCAAGAGAAAGAAACUUGCUUUUAAUCAAUGUGCUAAUCCAGGACAUAAGGUCUCCUUUCUCUCCCUCCCUUGUUUCAUUUCCCAGGGCUCAGUCCCCAUUCCCACCCCCUGCUCCCUCCCCAUACUGGUUGAAUGGAAAUUUGGUCCAGUUUUUUUUUUUUUUUAAUAUAGAUACAUUAAAAAACAGACACUGAUCUUCAAAGAAGGCUGCAAUUUCACUGGCGACGGAAUGUUUAUAGCCACAAUUUGUUUGGUUCUGAUAAAAUGCACAUGCCCCGUUAUUCCAUUUUAUUUUGCAUCCCAAGCCAGGCUUGCUUCUUACAUUGGCCUGUGCCUCUCCUAGUCAGCAAGACAGAGGGAGACAGAGAGACGGAGAGAGACAGAGAGACCUUCCUCGAGCUGUGGCUACAUCUGCCUGUGGGUGUCCUGGACUCCAUGGGCCCAGAGGUCAUUGAAUGUGGCGGAAGGAGACACAGUCCAGGAGUGAGGAUGACCAGCCAGAGGGAAUUUCAGGCACUCCCAGAGAUACGUUAUGCCCCAUCAAGAGAAACACCAGCCUUCCCAGGUCUCGCUGAAGCUAGAAAAUAAUGCCCCCAGUUCUUCUUGGGAGAUGGUGCAAGGGAGGUGAAAGAGUCUUGAAACUAAAAAAUGUGGACUUAAAUCUUAGCUUAGUCACUUUCCUGCGGUAUGAUUUGAACACAAUUUUCUCCGAAUUGGCUUCCCCGUUUGAAAACCAACAGCGUCUGCCCUACAGAACUGGUGUGAGAGUAAACAGAUUAGGACCAGGUCAGCAGGACGGAGCAUGCCCAGAAGAGAGUAGAAAGUGCAGUUUUGCCAAGGAGAGGGAAUUGAGAGGAGUAUUCUAGCCGGGAGGGCGGUGGGCACCCCAGCACACAGGCAUGAGGAAACAGCAUUGCUUGGGGGAGAAGUCUGAAGUGACUGGGUGUUUAGUUCAGAGAUAGAGCAACAGGAAAUGAAGCUGGCAGAACAAGAGGUCAGG
rnacentral:lncRNA from 10 species